UGCUUGGAUCCGCCAUUUUGCCACUAGAGAUGCUGUCUGAAGACCAGUGCUCUCUUCCUUCAGCGGCCUAGGCUGCGUCGGGGCCUGAGCUGGGGUCUGGGCCAGCCAUGGACAAUUUGCCAUUCUCAAGAUUUCCUGUCAUGGAAUGACUCUCCUAUCUCCUUUCUGAUGAACAGAACUGCAUCCACCAAGUGUUGGUCACUGGGUGGGAUGGAAGAUCAUCCAUCAGAAUUAUCACAACCUCUACAGCAGGUCUUCAUCGGGCCAAGGCCACAGCUAACUGCUUGGCAUGGAGCCCCCAUUUCAUCCUCAGUGGCCCUAAGCUCUUAAUCCACUCAUUCCUGACCUGUUUGGCACUGUAAACUAGGGUUGAGUGAGGCCCUUGCAUAGGGCCAGGACCUGAAUCCACAGGUGACCAAUUCCCCCUGGGCUGCUUAGAGGCUCUGGCAAAAGAACCUGCAAUGCAUGGAAAAAUCCCAUGAGACAAGUGCCAGAGAAUGGGACAGAGUGGACUGACAUUUGAGGUGAGCACACAUCUGGUGAGGUGACGCUGUGUAAGAGCUGGGGACAGUGGAGUAAGACACCUUGCUAAUGGUCCUUGGACACCAGGCCCAGUACAGAAAAUGAGGUACAAUGGCAGAAUUCAUUCAUGACAAGAAAUGAAACGAUUUUGUGUCUGUUCCUUUUCUCCUCUUCCAUCAAUAUGUGUACAGUGACCUUGCCUGUGACAAGGUAGAGGAUUAGUAGAGAGGAUAUGGUAGUUCAGCACUUGCAGUCCAGAUUCCUUUGGAGUAAGACCAUGGGCCCAGUGUUUCACAAGCCCUGGAUAGAGCCAUUGGAAGGGUUAAUCAGACCCAAAGUUCCUCUUAGUCGUGUGUGGGCCUCCAUACAUUCCCUUCUGCUCACACUCUGCACUGGAGCCAAUACCUCCUGUUAUUGUGGGUCCCAUCUCUGGAGCAGGGAUGUGGCACACAGGGCCCUUGGUCCACCUCCAUGCCAAAGUCCUGUGUGCAGCAUGGAUGGGGCAGUGCCCAGUAGCCAACAGGAAGCCUGAGACUCUGAGACACCACAGGUUUCACUUUGUGAACCCAGAUAACCUUAUGUUCCGCAAAGACUAACAGCUCUUUCCCAGACUUCUACCGAGGAGGACAGGAGAUGACUCUGGAGGCUCUGGAUAAGCAUGAUGCUGCCCUUGUCCUCCUGCCAGCCCUGUCCUUGGUAGGAACAUGACAGGAGCACAGGCUCACACUUCCCAACACCUGCCCCUGCCCCAGAGCAUCUCCCUCACUGCCUGUCCUCAGAGCACUUACAAUGAUGAUUUAGGAUGGGAAUGGUUUAGAAGAAUUCACAGAGGUGGCCAUGCCUUAAUGUGCUAUCCUCUAGUUAGUGUCUCUGAGUGGCUGGUGGCUGAGCCUAGGGACACCUGUACUGGGCUCCCUCUUGUUUCUGGUGUCUUGGGAGUUGGGGCUCUUGGGCCCUGCCCUGUGCUGCCCUUGAUUUUAGGCAGAUCCUGGUGAGCAUCCUGAAACAUCUUGGCCCAGUGAACCAUCCUUUCACUCAUUUGCAUGUGGUUUUCCCAUGCAGGGUCAAGAGGCUGGGGCUUUAAAGCCUCAGAAAGCAGCACAGCAUAUUCACUGGUUACUCUCAUGAGCCACGUGCUGGUGAAGGUCAACUGUCCGCAGACAAAGUUGCCUGGUGACCAGAAGUUUCAAAGUUCUGUUUAGACCUGUUGCCAAGAAAGUUGUGUCAUGUGCUGGGGUCCAGAGCUGGGCUGACCCCUUUGAUGCCUCCUUUCUUUUUAUUGUGGAACAAAUUUGUUUUCCUUAGAAAUUGCAAGUGAAAAACUAGAAAACAGAAUGUGGUUUUAUACUUUUCUUCACUUUGAAAUAUUUCAUACAACAAACAUGUAGAUGCUUCAGAAGUGGCAGGCUGGGAACCAAGUGCACAUUUCCAUCCAAAAUGUUUUUUUCAUUGAGAAUUAGGUUUCACUUAGAGAUCUGUCAAAUUUUAGGAUGUGUUUCUUUCCUUUGCUUAUGUUAGUUUUAUUUCAACUCCAUUAGGGAGUAUGGAGAUGUUCCCAGAAUAACCAUAAUAAUUUUCUUUGAAGUAUGUGAAUGUUUCAUGUUAUAACCUCCUCCUGUCCAGGGGAUGAGGUUUCCUAAGAAGUUUUACUCUCAUGGGCCUAUGAGUGAUUACUUAUUCAUCCUUAGAUAUUUAACUCAGCCACACACUGUAGCCUCGUACUCUGACAUCCAGUGGAGGGGAGAGCAGGUGGUGAUUGCAAGGGGAGGCUUUCCAAGACCAUGGACAUCAUCACUCCCUGCUGAGGAAGGACACAUGCACAUCACUCCUGGGGAACUUGUCUCAUAGCCACUGAUAUCACUUCCAGUCCUCUAUUCCCAAACAGACCGUGGGCUUUGUGUCCCUCCUGGGUAGUUUGCCUUUCCUAGACGUGAUGGCCCUGAGGCUGAUCAGGCAAAAUGCUCUCUGGUUGGUCUCCUGCAAGCAGUGUCUCCAUCCUGGGCUCCCAGUGUGCUGCCACCACAUGCCAUUGCAGGGCUGAACAAAACCAGCUGUCACUUGUUCAUGCACCCCUCACCCAUCUGCCAAUGUCCAUUUCUUUUGUUUCUGGCUCAACCCUUGAAAGCAAGCUGCCACAGCCAAUCUUAUACAUGUGCUUGAGUGGAUGCAGUCUUUCAUUUUAAAGAAAAACAACUUAAAUGUGAAAUUAAUGGAUUAUAUUACUAGUUUAUGGCUAACUAGAAAAUAAUGGAUUAUAUUACUAGUUUAUGGCUAACUAGAAAUUCUUAAAGUAUCUUUGGAAGCAGUUGUUUAAAGCAGAGUUAGGUGGUUGCUUUUUCAUUUUGUUUUAUUAUGGUAUACUGUGCUAUGCUAUAUUAUGUUACAUUAUGUUAUAUGUUGGUGAGGAUUUUGAAACUGUAUUUUCUGUGGUUUCUGAUUUGAUUUUGUAUAUUCAAUCUGAGAAAAUAUAAGAAUAUCACAUAACUCUGAGUAAGUUUGUUUGGAGAAAAUUUUAAAAGGAAAACGCAGUCUGUGAUGUUGGUACACACCUGUCAUUUCAGUUCUCAGAGGUUGAGACAGGGGGAUUGUUGUAAUUUUGAGGUCGUCUGGGGCUAAAAGGGAAGAUCAAGGCCAGCUUCAACUGUAUAGCAGAACCCAAUCUCAAAAAAAGAAUG